ensembl:lncRNA
UGAGGGUUGGACUGUGAAGAGAGCUGAGCGCCAAAGAAUUGAUGCUUUUGAACUGUGGUGUUGGAGAAGACUCUUGAGAGUCCCUUGGACUGCAAGGAGAUCCAACCAGUCCAUUCUGAAGGAGAUCAGCCCUGGGAUUUCUUUGGAAGGAAUGAUGCUAAAGCUGAAACUCCAGUACUUUGGCCAUCUCAUGGGAAGACUUGACUCAUUGGAAAAGACUCUGAUGCUGGGCAGGAUUGGGGGCAGGAGGAGAAGGGGACGACAGAGGAUGAGAUGGCUGGAUGGCAUCACUGAUUCCAUGGACGUGAGUCUGAGUGAACUCCGGGAGUUGGUGAUGGAUAGGGAGGCCUGGCAUGCUGUGAUUCAUGCGGCCGCAAAGAGUCGGGCACAACUGAGCGACUGAACCGAACUGAAGAGCAAUGAAAAUAAGACUGACACAGAGCAGCUGUGAACAGGAAUAAGGAAGGGGGAAGAAGACGUCCCUGUAUUUUUAAGGGAUCUCUGCUCUGAGAAACUAAACUGUGAAGAGAAACGUUCAAACAUGAUGAGAGAAAUCUCGGAAAGACUUAAAAAGAAAAUUGGCUGUGCUGGGCCUUCACUGAGUUUUACUUCCAGAAGAUCUACCAGGUCUCACAGUUAAACCUGGAGAAAAAUCUUCUUGUGCUUCCAGAACAAGAGGAAAAGGAAUCAUUUUGAAAUAUGCAAGAGCAUCCUAUUCUUCUGUUCUCAGAAGAAAGUAUUUUACUAGAGCCUAAGCUACUGGAAAUUUAUCACAACAUAAGCUACCUGAGGGAAAAGAAAUACCCAACCUCAGUCUGCUCUGGCCUUCCAUGUAGUCCCAAACCUCCCCCUUCUCCACCAUCCUGUCCC